AUUGAACGCUGGCGGCAUGCCUUACACAUGCAAGUCGAACGGCAGCACGGGUGCUUGCACCUGGUGGCGAGUGGCGAACGGGUGAGUAAUACAUCGGAACAUGUCCUGUAGUGGGGGAUAGCCCGGCGAAAGCCGGAUUAAUACCGCAUACGAUCCACGGAUGAAAGCGGGGGACCUUCGGGCCUCGCGCUAUAGGGUUGGCCGAUGGCUGAUUAGCUAGUUGGUGGGGUAAAGGCCUACCAAGGCGACGAUCAGUAGCUGGUCUGAGAGGACGACCAGCCACACUGGGACUGAGACACGGUCCAGACUCCUACGGGAGGCAGCAGUGGGGAAUUUUGGACAAUGGGCGAAAGCCUGAUCCAGCAAUGCCGCGUGUGUGAAGAAGGCCUUCGGGUUGUAAAGCACUUUUGUCCGGAAAGAAAUCCUUGACUCUAAUACAGUCGGGGGAUGACGGUACCGGAAGAAUAAGCACCGGCUAACUACGUG
rnacentral:rRNA from 1 species